UCUUUUGAACUGGGAUAGCUCACUUGAUAGAGCAUGAGACUCUUAAUCUCAGGGUUGUGGGUUCGAGCCCCACAUCGGGCAAAAGAU
rnacentral:tRNA from 1 species